AGGAGGAACAACCCCACUGGCGGCCAGCCCUCCAGCCCUGGAGUCAGCUCCCGCAGUAACUACUGCAGCUCCUGGUCUGCAGGGGCCUGGAUGCUCCGGGGCGGG
rnacentral:pre_miRNA from 1 species